GAAAUGAAAAAGUGGAUAAGAAAGAAGGAAAAAAUAAUCACCUGCAACCCUUUAUCCACAGCUAAUCUUCUUUCUGCAUAUAUACGUGGUGGUUUUUUAGUUUUCUAUCUUCUCAUAGCACCUUAUUAGUUAACUUAAACUUUCAAAAUCACCUCUACAUGUUCUCUAGCAAGAUUUAAAUAAAAAAAAAUUAAAUUUUAUUUUAUUGAGAUGGAGUCUCACUAUGUUGGCCAGGGUGGUGGUCUUGAACUCCUGGCCUUCAGUGAUCAGCCUGCCUUGGCCUUCCAGAGUUGCUGGGAUUACAGGCAUGAGCCACCACGCCUGGCCAACAUUGGAAUUCUUUUUCCUCGAAAAUACAAGAAGUGUGAAGAGAAUUCACAUUCAUAUCCCAUGGAUCCAAUACUAAUCACUGUUAACAUCUUGGCAUUUUUUUUUCAGUUUGUUUUGUUUUUUAAUUAAGACAGAUCAUUCUGUAUUUGCAUAAAAUGACAAAGAUGAUGCAUGCUCGGUAGAAAGAAAUCAGGCUGGGAAUGGUGGCUCAUGCCUGUAAUCACAGCACUUUGGGAGGCUGAGGAGGGAGGAUCACUGGAAGCCAGGAGUUCAAGGCCAGCCUGGGUGACAAAGUGAGACACGCAUCUCUGCAAAAAAUUUAAAAAUUAGCUGGGCGUGGUGGUGUGUACCUGUAGUCUCAAUUACUAGGAAGGCUGAGGAUCACUUGAACCCGAGUUCGAGGCUGCAGUGAGGUAUGAUGGUGCCACUGCCCUCCAGCCUGAGUGAUAGAGGGAGAGCCCAUUUCUUAAAAAAGAGAGGCUGGGCGUGAGCCGCCGCGCCCGGCCUGUUGUCAAGUUGUUUUGAUCCUCAAUUCAUUUUGUUAGAUUUCCAACAUCCUUUUAAUCUGUUACCCAUUAGCUCAUCUGUGAGUGCUUGUUUUAUUGAACCCGUGUUCUUCAGUUGUUAGGGAGCAUGAAGCAUUCGUGAGAAUUUUCUUUUCUUCCUUGAGUGUUCCAUUCUCUUCUAGCACAGAAUCUCUUCUUUGGAACCUUGCGUUCUCAUCCAUUCAUUUUCUUUAGCAGUCGAGUGUUUGCUUGUUUGCAGUGCUGUUUCUCCUUGUCUUGCUCAUGCUUGGGCAUCGUUAUCCCGGACGUUAUAUUGGCGCUAACGUAGUGUGACUUUAACUCGUGUUAUGGGAACAGGGCAAGGAGGACUGGCAUCUCGCUAGACGAGAUGUGGUGGGUGAGAGAGUAGGAUCCUCUUUUUCACAUUUCUUGCAGAUUUGGAGCUUUUGAUAUGAGUAUUUUUUUUCUCCCCCCUAGGUUGGCUUCUGGGGAGUUGUCAGGGUGGGGAGUUGCCCACAUUUCUGUUCUGUUCCUGAAUCCAUGCCCUUUGUAACCACAGCCAUACCAUGUUCUUAAUGGCCACACAGCAUUCAACUCUGUGGCUGUAGCUCAAUUUACUCAUCCAAUCCUUUAUUGGAUACUUAAUUGGCCUGGAUUUUUUAAUAGUUUAAAAGCAUUUAAACUGUUAUAGUUUAAUAGUGAAUACCCUGGCUGGGCGCGGUGGCUCACACCUGUAAUCCCAGCACUUUGGGAGGCUGAGGUGGGCAGAUCACGAGGUCAGGAGAUCGCGACCAUCCUGGCUAACACGGUGAAACCCCGACUCUACUAAAAAAAAACAAAAAAAUUAGCUGGGCCUGGUGGCAGGUGCCUGUAGUCCCAGCUGCUCAGGUGGCUGAGGCAGGAGAAUGGCGUGAACCCAGGAGGCGGAGCUUGCAGUGAGCGGAGAUCGAGCCACUGGACUCCAGCC
rnacentral:lncRNA from 1 species